rnacentral:rRNA from 1 species
CCUACGUGAGGCAGCAGUGGGGAAUAUUGGGCAAUGGGCGCAAGCCUGACCCAGCAACGCCGCGUGAGGGAAGAAGGCUUUCGGGUUGUUAACUUCCUUUAAGGGGGAAGCGCAGAAGACGAUGCCCCUUGAAUAAGCCACGGCUAACUACGUGCCAGCAGCCGCGGUAAUACGUAGGUGGCAAGCUUUGUCCGGAUUUACUGGGUUUAACGGGCGUGCAGCCGGGGAUACAAGUCAGAUGUGAAAUCCACGGGCUCAACCCGUGGACGGCAGUUGAAACUGUUUCCCUUGAGUGUGCGAGAGGUAAUCGGAAUGCGUGGUGUAGCGGUGAAAUGCGUAGAUAUAAGGAAGAACACCAGUGGCGAAGGCAGAAUACUGGAGGAUAACUGACGGUGAGGCGCGAAAGCGUGGGGAGCAAACAGGAUUAGAUACCCCGGUAGUC